GAUGAACGCUAGCGGCAGGCCUAACACAUGCAAGUCGAGGGGUAGCAGGAUUAAGCUUGCUUAAUUGCUGACGACCGGCGCACGGGUGCGUAACGUGUAUGCAACCUACCUUAUACUGGGGUAUAGCCCGGAGAAAUUCGGAUUAAUCCCCAUAGUACUAAUGAAUCGCAUGGUUUAUUAGUUAAAGCAUUGCGGUAUAAGAUGGGCAUGCGUCCUAUUAGCUAGAUGGUGAGGUAACGGCUCACCAUGGCUACGAUAGGUAGGGGGCCUGAGAGGGUGGUCCCCCACACUGGUACUGAGACACGGACCAGACUCCUACGGGAGGCAGCAGUGAGGAAUAUUGGUCAAUGGGCGCAAGCCUGAACCAGCCAUGCCGCGUGCAGGAAGAAUGCCCUAUGGGUUGUAAACUGCUUUUAUUUGGGAAUAAACCUCUUUACGUGUAGAGAGCUGAAGGUACCAAAUGAAUAAGCACCGGCUAACUCCGUGCCAGCCGCCGCAGUAA
rnacentral:rRNA from 1 species